GAUGAACGCUGGCGGCGUGCUUAACACAUGCAAGUCGAACGGAAAGGCUCCUGCUUGCAGGGGUACUCGAGUGGCGAACGGGUGAGUAACACGUGGGUGAUCUGCCCUGCACUUCGGGAUAAGCCUGGGAAACUGGGUCUAAUACCGGAUAGGACGAUGGUUUGGAUGCCAUUGUGGAAAGUUUUUUCGGUGUGGGAUGAGCUCGCGGCCUAUCAGCUUGUUGGUGGGGUAAUGGCCUACCAAGGCGUCGACGGGUAGCCGGCCUGGGAGGGUGUACGGCCACAUUGGGACUGAGAUACGGCCCAGACUCCUACGGGAGGCAGCAGUGGGGAAUAUUGCGCAAUAGGCGCAAGCCUGAUGCAGCGACGCCGCGUGGGGGAUGACGGCCUUCGGGUUGUAAACUCCUUUCGCUAGGGACGAAGCGCAAGUGACGGUACCUGGAGAAGAAGCACCGGCUAACUACGUG
rnacentral:rRNA from 1 species